rnacentral:lncRNA from 1 species
CAUCCAAAUAAAAAUAAAUAAAUAAAUAAAAUAUAAUGGAGACCAUCGAAACUCAAUAGACUGGCGGUUCUCCUUGAUUGCCGGUGGCUGCCAUCAAGGAGACGACGACGGCCCACCGAUCAGCUAGUUUCUGACCACUGUUGGCCGGAUUUUGUAGAGAAAAGCAUCGAUUUUGGCCUCUCCUCUUUCCACUGCCCAUCGC